CGCGCCCGUUUGCCUCAAACGCCGCGUCUGCACAAGAGCGGGAGCGACGUUCCCUCGUGACAGACGGAGGCGGCGAUGGUGCGGACGACGAGGGCCCGCGUCUUCGACUUAGUUUCCUGAUACGAAAUCUGCCUGAAGUUCCUGCCACUGUGGUUUCCUGACUGCCAUCUCCUCAGUGAGUAGGCACCUCCUCAUACUGAAGCACGGGUCCCUGCAGCUCACCUGGGCUCUGACCUUGAAGAAAUCUAGUUCCUUCACUCCACAGCUCUUGUCCUUGCUCCAACUGGAAAAUCAAAUCUGAUUUGCAAUGCUGAUAUCCUGUUCAUUGAAAAAAGCACUCCACAGCCCUCACCCAGCACCUGAAACACUGGACUCGUGGAAAGCACUUCCCGAUUGGACCACAUUGGUCUCCUCCCUGCUCAUCUCUUCAACCACAACCCUUAAUGAAAGGAUCUUUAGAGCCAACACUAUGAUCAAUGGGUGGAUUAUUUCCCAAUAAGGAUGUGGACUGAGUUAGAGAAAGCAAACUUCUUUCUUCAUUUCUGUAAAUACACAAGCUUAAUGGAGGCUGGGAUAAACUAGUGUGAUACUAUGUUACUAGUUACUGAGUUUCUGAAUCAUUGUAACUAUCCUAGAGUCCUGGGGAAAUUUCAAUGGAGCUCAGAUCCCUGAGGAUUUCCCAACUGCAAGUGAACAUUUAAGCCAAUAAAAUUCGCCCAUCUGAUGGCCCUAGGGUGUUCUUUCAGCAGAAAGAGGCUUCCCUACUCACCAGUGGCUGCAUUGUCAUUAACUCAGUUGCCAGGUGUCUUUCUCCGGGUUUUCGCUCUCAGACAGUCCAAGCACUAAGCAGGCAAAGCUGAGGAUGGAGAAUGAAGCCAUGAGAUCCCAGUCCUGUGCCCAAUUUCCAGUCUCACCCGUCAUGAGACUGGGUGGGACCCCCAGCCUAACCAACAAACAUGCAGCGCAGCCUACAAGAAAUGAAGAGGACUCACUUCCUCUCCCAUGUUCAAAAGUAAGA